rnacentral:rRNA from 1 species
CGGACGGGUGAGUAAUACAUAGGAAUCUGCCCAGUAGCGGGGGACAACUUGGGGAAACUCAAACUAAUACCGCAUACGCCCUACGGGGGAAAGCGGGGGACCUUCGGGCCUCGCACUAUUGGAUGAGCCUAUGUCAGAUUAGCUUGUUGGUGGGGUAAUGGCCUACCAAGGCGACGAUCUGUAGCUGGUCUGAGAGGACGAUCAGCCACACUGGGACUGAGACACGGCCCAG